GGACUGUGUCCCUGAGAGGCUGAGAAAAUAGGAGUACCUUGGACAGAGCAGAUGUUAGCAGGUACCUGGGGAGCAAAAGGGAGAUCCUGGUUGGCUGCUAGGACUAGCUAGCUCAAGGCCCUGAGAAGCGUACGAAGAAUUGUGCUGGGGAAGCGGCCCAGGGAACUGAAGCAGUGGAGAUAGAAGUUAAAGGCACAGCAGGAGGCUGCCUGGAAUAGGCAGACCCAGGUCCCCCCUACUUGCUACUGGGGAAAUGGCAAGAAUUGGACUGAUACCUUCUCCCCUGGAAGGCGGAAAUACGGAUGGUGGCAUGGCCAGAAGGUGGAGUCAUUAAGAGGAUGCUGCGGUAUUUGGACUAAGGCGGGUCUGCAGGACAAGACAGUGCGAGAGGCACCAUAAGAGCAGGAACCUCAAAACCAUUUAACACCCGAAAGGAAGCAUCUCCCUGAACUCUGAGAAGACAUGGUUUCUAACCUGAAGAGUUUAAAAUCCAAGCAUCUGACCGAAAGGCUGGGAAGUCAAUAUGGGUGUUCAGCACUUCCUAAGGAAAUAACUAGUAUUUCCACCACUUGGCAUUGCUUGCCUCUCAGUCUACUGAAUGGCUCUUUGAUCAUGAGGAAAAAACCCAUAAAACCAGAUGGAUGACCCACCAAAUGAUGGUGAUCUAGAAUGAGUCAUUUUCAACAGACAUGACAAACUGAGACGCUGUGAAUCAAACUGGAACCACCCACUUCUAUUCAUUACCUUAACUUCUCUACAUUGAGCUGUGGGAGCUACUUAUCCACCCACUAGCUUAAUCUAUGGAAAUCAUUCUGAA